CCGUAAAGUCCGAGAGCAAACUGUAGUGUGGGUAGCAAAUAGGGAUGAUCCAAUCAAUGGUUCCUCGGGAGUUCUAUCAAUUGACCAAUAUGGAAAUCUCGUUCUCCGUAGCUACCAUAGCCAGAAGGUUCCUGUAUGGUCUACAAAUGUCUCAGUUGAGGUUGCAGAUACUUGUGUUAUAGCUCAGCUCUUGGAUACAGGAA
rnacentral:misc_RNA from 1 species